AUCCAGGUGACGAGUCCCAAAUAGGACGAAAUGCGUAUCCUGGAU
rfam:Trichobilharzia regenti genome assembly, scaffold: TRE_scaffold0029879